AUUUGUUUAUCACUAGGGAAGAAAUACCCAUCAUUCCUGUGUGUGUUUGUGCACGUAAAGGACAUAGAUGACCUGGAAAAAGGAAGGAAUUGGAGAGCUCUGCAGGUUGAAGCGGUGAUGGAGUAAGCCUAGAUAAUGAUGUGACACUGGAAAGGAGGCCCUUCAGAUUUCAAAGAGUCCAAUUUCUUGUGACGACCAGUUUUGAAGUGUGACAGAGGCAAUAGAAAGCAAGACAGAAGGAGAGGUAAAAAUGACCAAGAAUCAUCAGGUUAAAAAAACCUCAAGCCAAGGUGUUAAGGCUUAUUCGUGUAGAGUUCUAAAAAAAAAAAAAAAGAAUAUACAAUGCAAAAAUUCCUAAAUAUAAGAAGAUCUGAAGUGAAAAGUAAAAAUGUCCCACCCAGACAUCCUAUACCAUUCUGUCACAAUGGUGGUGUUCAUUAUUAAAAACAUACAGUUUGGGUCGGUUGGAAAUCAGUGAAGUUCUUAGCACUUGUGAGGACCUGUGGUGCUGGGGUAUGGGUGGUAUGAGGUUUCUUAAUUUGGGCAUUAGUAAUGAGUUUGUGAAAAUCCAUCAAACUUCACACUAAUCUUUUUUGGCCUAUAGUCUACUUAAAUAACAAAAAUGAUUUGCAUAAGCUAUAUUCCUUUUUUAAAUAUGUAAAAGAAUGAUACUAAAAAUAAUGUAACAAAUACAAACACCUACAUACCUGCUAUCCAGUUUAAGAAAUAAAAUAUAAUAAAGGCCUUGUGUAUUGUCAUAUGAAUACAUGUUCCAUGUAAAUUUCAAGACCAUUUUCUCAAUAUUUGUAAAGGCCCACCUAUAAUUUUGAUAUGGAUUAUAUUCAGUCUGUUAACCAAUUUGGAGUGUAUUUCUACCUUAACAAUAUUAAGUCUUCUAAUCCACAAAUUUGGGUUUUCUUUCUAUUUAUUUAUAUCUUUUCUAAUAUCUUUUAACAAUGCUUUAUACUCCUUUUUAAAAUUAUUCCUAAAUUAGUGUUGCCUAGCAUGCAUGAGGACCUGAGUUAGAUUCCCAGCACUGCAAAUAAAUAAAUAAAAUAGAAAAUAAAAAAUGUAUUCCUAAAUAUUUUAUUUUUUAUGUCAAUAUCAAUACAG
rnacentral:lncRNA from 1 species